AGAGUUUGAUCCUGGCUCAGGAUGAACGCUGGCGGCGUGCUUAACACAUGCAAGUCGAGCGAAGCAUCUGUUUGAUUUUUCGGAAUGAAAACAGUUUGACUGAGCGGCGGACGGGUGAGUAACGCGUGGGUAACCUGCCUUACACAGGGGGAUAACAGUUAGAAAUGACUGCUAAUACCGCAUAACCCGCUAGGGCCACAUGGCCCGGACGGAAAGAUUUUAUCGGUGUAAGAUGGACCCGCGUCUGAUUAGCUGGUUGGUGAGGUAACGGCUCACCAAGGCGACGAUCAGUAGCCGACCUGAGAGGGUGAUCGGCCACAUUGGGACUGAGACACGGCCCAAACUCCUACGGGAGGCAGCAGUGGGGAAUAUUGCACAAUGGGGGAAACCCGUGAUGCAGCAACGCCGCGUGAGUGAAGAAGUAUUUCGGUAUGUAAAGCUCUAUCAGCAGGGAAGAAAAUGACAGUACCUGACUAAGAAGCCCCGGCUAACUACGUG
rnacentral:rRNA from 1 species